rnacentral:lncRNA from 1 species
UGUGCCGUGAUGUAGGGCGGACAAGGUCGACCGCCGGCUGCACUGCUUGGUCGAUCCUUCUACGAAGUCGGCGGGAUUUCAAUCCAGUGCUUGUAAUUUUGUUGGACUGGGGAGGUGAAUGCAAAAGACCAAGCUCUGCUAACUUAGCUUCGUUUCUGGCUAUGCAUGUAGCACGCUCUUCCUCAAGGUCCAUCAAAGAUCGUAAUGAUAUCGCAAUAUUGCCUAUAUGAAUGACGAAUGUAAGCAGGAUGUAGUCAUUUUGGACUGAUGUAUGAAGAUGUGUACGGCGUGAUUGCAAGCGACCUGUACCAAUGAGGCAAACCGUUCAUGGAUUUUGAGGUGUAAUUUAUUACAGAAAAGGUUGCCGCAUUUGCAAGACUUAGGCAUUGUGUGAAUGUGGACGGGUCCUGCAGGCCAAGACCCCGAGUGCCUAUGCCCCGGAGUGGAAGUUGGCUAACGAAUUACUGCGAGGCCAGGAACACCAAUUGAGUUAACUAUUGCUUGUCUUUAUAGCUUAAAUUCUGCGCAAAGCGCACAUACUCUGGUAGAAGGUAACUGCGACGGCCGGACAGAGGUUACGCAAUUUCAUAAAGCCAACCGAACGGGCUACAGAGACUUUAUAGCUAAAUCAAAGUUAUUGCUUUAACUAGUAUAGCANACAGCUUCACGCGCGGGCACUCUGACGUCGACAUGGCCGAUGAUGAUGACAGGACUUCUAGCUUUGUACCCAUCCAAAUGC